AUCUAGCUUUUGCAUUUGGUUUAUGGAAAUGCUAAAAUAAGAAAGCUAGAAGAGUUUAUGUUUCUCAUCUCACUUUUAUUUUAGUGCUGGAAUCAGCCUUUGGGAUUAUUUUGUCCUCCAAAAGAUAUAUGAGGCAAUCAAGUUUUUUUCCUGGCAGAGGUAACGACAUCUGUGUGUUCGAUCUUUUGGCAUGUAGUGUGGCACCUAGGACCUGGAUAUCAAUGGCGACGAGGAGCAGGUGUUGGCCGUCGCUUGUCUGGUAGUGAGACACAUGUGUCUUGUACAAAUGUAAAUGCCUCCUUCCUCGCUCUGCAUUCAUGUUGGUUUUUCUUCCUGAAUCAUUUUCCUAUCAAUGUUAUUUUGGCACCACCAAAAUGCUCACCUAGCAUUUUCUAUGAAGUUCUAAAUGUGUUUUACCUUGGGGGUACAGGGAUGUUGAACUCGCUAGCUAGAAGCAUUUGGGUAGGUUGGUGCCUAAGGAUCCCUGUUGAACACAAAAGUAUCCAAAGAUAAUUAGAGUGAGAACCUAUCAAUUUUGUUGCUUCAUUAUCAUUAUACAUGCCCACUUGAAAUAUUGUGAUAUAUCAAGGUGUCCUUUUCAGUUUAACUUUAUAUGUCCACUUAAUUUAUAUUUUUGGUAUUUAUCAGACCAUAAGUCUGUAGUGCAACCAACAUCUUGGUGAUAAAAGGCCCAAAUUAUAAUUAAGACAUACUUUUGUUGUCUGUGGCACUAGGCAUUGAGGAAAAACAGCCUACAGUUUCUAAUGGUGUACCAGUUAACAUUGUUUAAGUUUUUUGGGAACAAAAACAUGGCCACCAUCAUGACAAACCUGGGUGUAAGGCAAAUUAGUAAUACUAAAGCUGGUUUUUAAAAGACAAGUUUGUCUCUUUUUUGGAAUACUGUGCAGUUUUAUGAACACACCCAGGAACAAGAAAAUGAGUGAUCUGUUAAUUUAUUUUACUGCAGUAGCCUAAAUAUCUUUUUACAAUAUUCAGCAAGCAUGUCCAUGCUAAAUUGGAAAUUUGCUCCAUAAUACCUCGAACUCUCAUUUCGGAUAAAAAUUAAAUCCGAGAUGUGCGUAAAUACUCACUAUAGCCUUCUUCGGAUGUUUACUGUUUGCUUUGGUGUACACUCAGAAAUUUAGGCUUCAUCUCAUACGGUUAAUAGGCACAUUACUGGUUAUUCUGUUUUAGGGAAGUCUAUGUUGAAAUGUUUCAACGUAAAGUACAAUACAUCAAUCAUAGUUUUUAAUGUUCUCUGCAUUAAUUUAUGUUUCUUGCAAUAUUGUUGGAUUUUUCCCUUAUGAACAUAAUACAAGUGCCUUGAAGUCUUUGACAGCUAUUCAUGGAAGGUUGCGAAAGUGGUGAGAUUGCUUGGUCAAGAGUACUAUCUCAUCAGGCUCCUUGGAUCCUCCCAAGAAUUGAGGGUACACACAUCCAAUCUUAGGACAAGGCCCGCAGCUUUGGCAUGACAACAUUUGGGUUGCUAUUCCAAAGGAUCUCGUGAGGACUGAUCUCUGCCCUGCGGAGGCUGUAGUAUUUGUUCUGAGUGGUUACAGCAAUGGGCGGUUUUAUGGAGCAAGAAGUAUCGGUUGAUAUUCCAGGGGUGGUGGAGCGUUCAAAGAAGAUUGUCUCUAGAUUGAAAAGACCCUGCAAACAACGAGCCUUGAUCUACUAUUUGUCAACGCUUUCUCAUCGUUGGCAACUUGUGGUUUAUGCUGGAUCUGAGAAAAUAGAUACCAAGGGACUGGCAAGAUUAUAUACAUGAACUGGGUGUAGCCAUGGCAAAUUGUGAGUGAGGAGGUUUAUCUUCAUGGAAGCCCGGGAUACAUAUAGAUCAGCGCAUUAUUGAUACAUAAUUCGGUUCACUGAACUGAGGUCCAGCAAGUCGCACCUCCUCCAGAAAAUGGUCCUUCUUUAGGCUGAAUGCAUAACCCUUCAGUAUUCUUCUUACAUUACAUGCAUUGGAAGUAACACUCCUCUGAAGUCUGAAGUAAACAAUUUAAAUCCUUAGAAUUAAUAGAGUAAUCUAAAUCGUGCAUGCAGAUUGCCUAAUACCAUUUAUUGUUCAUCAAACAAGAAGUUGUAGGAUUAUGGUAUGAGAGGUGACUGCCGAUCAAGCCAACGACCAUGGAGACACAUAUAUUUAGCAAAUCCAAAGUACGCUUCACAAAGCAAAAAAUGUAAAUUUUAUAUUUACCUUUUACGUGUAAUCAUACAAUUGAUAUACACAAAAUUGUUUUUUGAAGAGGCCAA